rnacentral:rRNA from 1 species
GACGAACGCUGGCGGCGUGCCUAAUACAUGCAAGCUCGAGCGAAGUUUUUCUGGUGCUUGCACUAGAAAAACUUAGCGGCGAACGGGUGAGUAACACGUAAAGAACCUGCCUCAUAGACUGGGACAACUAUUGGAAACGGUAGCUAAUACCGGAUAACAGCAUUAACUGCAUGGUUGAUGUUUAAAAGUUGGUUUUGCUAACACUAUGAGAUGGCUUUGCGGUGCAUCAGCUAGUUGGUGGGGUAAAGGCCUACCAAGGCGACGAUGCAUAGCCGACCUGAGAGGGUGAUCGGCCACACUGGGACUGAGACACGGCCCAGACUCCUACGGGAGGCAGCAGUAGGGAAUCUUCCGCAAUGGGCGAAAGCCUGACGGAGCAACGCCGCGUGAGUGAAGAAGGAUUUCGGUUCGUAAAGCUCUGUUGUUAGGGAAGAAUGAUUGUGUAGUAACUAUACACAGUAGAGACGGUACCUAACCAGAAAGCCACG